rnacentral:lncRNA from 1 species
CCUUUUACUUUAGUUUCGGGGGAGGCGGAAGAGAAAGAGAGAGAGAGGACACAGGGAAACUUACAGCAAAAGUUUCGAUGUUUAUAGCUUUCUUGGGGAAGAAAACACAUGCACAGAUCCUGGUGUUAGGAAUAUUUUAAGCAUGUAUCUUCAAUAUUAUUCAUCCAGGACCGAAGUAAGUCCUGAUGCAGGAAAUGAGUGACUUUCACAGCUUUCUGAGCCCCUACUCAACCCAGGAAGUCCAGCUGGCACCUCCUCUGGAUCACAAGCACUUUGGGAGGCCAAAGCAAGAGGAUUGCUCGAGCCCAGGAGUUUGAGACCAGACUGGACAACAUAGUAAACCUCAUCCCUACAAAAAAAAAAAAAAAGUAAAAAACGAAGCUGAAGGAUCUUUUGAGCCCGGGAGGUCGAGAUUGCAAUGAGCCGUGAUCAUGCCAUUACACUUACACCUGGGUGGCAGAGUGAGACCCUGCCUCAAAAAAAUAAAUAAAUAAAAAAUAAAUCUUAAAU